GACAGAGGGUGCAAACGUUGUUCGGAAUUACUGGGCGUAAAGCGUGUGUAGGCGGCUACGUAAGUCGGAUGUGAAAGCCCCGGGCUCAACCCGGGAACUGCAUUUGUGACUGCAUGGCUGGAGUGCGGCAGAGGGGGGAUGGAAUUCCGCGUGUAGCAGUGAAAUGCGUAGAUAUGCGGAGGAACACCGAUGGCGAAGGCAAUCCCCUGGGCCUGCACUGACGCUCCAGUGCACGAAAGCGUGGGGAGCAAACAGG
rnacentral:rRNA from 1 species